rnacentral:rRNA from 1 species
AGGUCACUGCUAUCGGUGUUCGUCUAAGCCAUGCGAGUCAUAUGUUCUUCGUGAACAUGGCAUACUGCUCAGUAACACGUGGAUAAUCUGCCCUUGGGACCGGCAUAACCCCGGGAAACUGGGGAUAAUUCCGGAUAAACCGUAUCUGCUGGAAUGCUUUACGGUUGAAAUGGAUUCGUCCGCCCAAGGAUGAGUCUGCGGCCUAUCAGGUAGUAGCGGGUGUAAUGUACCUGCUAGCCUACGACGGGUACGGGUUGUGAGAGCAAGAGCCCGGAGAUGGAUUCUGAGACAUGAAUCCAGGCCCUACGGGGCGCAGCAGGCGCGAAAACUUUACAAUGCGGGCAACCGUGAUAAGGGGACACCGAGUGCCAGCAACAAUUGCUGGCUGUCCAUGUGCUUAAAUUGCACGUGUUAGCAAGGGCCGGGCAAGACCGGUGCCAGCCGCCGCGGUAACACCGGCGGCCCGAGUGGUGAUCGUUAUUAUUGGGUCUAAAGGGUCCGUAGCCGGUUUAGUCAGUCCUCCGGGAAAUCUGCCAGCUUAACUGGUAGGCUAUCGGGGGAUACUGCUAGACUUGGAACCGGGAGAGGUAAGAGGUACUACAGGGGUAGGAGUGAAAUCUUGUAAUCCCUGUGGGACCACCUGUGGCGAAGGCGUCUUACCAGAACGGGUUCGACGGUGAGGGACGAAAGCUGGGGGCACGAACCGGAUUAGAUACCCGGGUAGUCCCAGCCGUAAACGAUGCUCGCUAGGUGUCAGGCACGGUGCGACCGUGUUUGGUGCCGCAGGGAAGCCGUGAAGCGAGCCACCUGGGAAGUACGGCCGCAAGGCUGAAACUUAAAGGAAUUGGCGGGGGAGCACAACAACGGGUGGAGCCUGCGGUUUAAUUGGAUUCAACGCCGGGAAUC